AGAGUUUGAUCCUGGCUCAGGACGAACGCUGGCGGCGUGCUUAACACAUGCAAGUCGAGCGGAAAGGCCCUUCGGGGUACUCGAGCGGCGAACGGGUGAGUAACACGUGAGCAACCUGCCCUUAGCUUCGGGAUAGCUCCGGGAAACCGGAAUUAAUACCGAAUAUGACUGCGGCUGACAUCAGCCACGGUGGAAAGUUUUUCGGCUAGGGAUGGACUCGCGGCCUAUCAGCUAGUUGGUGAGGUAACGGCCCACCAAGGCGACGACGGGUAGCCGGCCUGAGAGGGCGACCGGCCACACUGGGACUGAGACACGGCCCAGACUCCUACGGGAGGCAGCAGUGGGGAAUAUUGCGCAAUGGGCGAAAGCCUGACGCAGCGACGCCGCGUGGGGGAUGAAGGCCUUCGGGUUGUAAA
rnacentral:rRNA from 1 species